rnacentral:lncRNA from 1 species
AGAAGUCCAGGGCUAGGAGCCUCAGCCGGCGGACGCCAGGAAACAGGUCUAGGUUAAUAGCAGGUAAUUGUGACAAGUCCAGUGUGGGUUACUGGUCAUGAAGAAUCCAUUGUUGAUGACAUCCCAGAAGAGAACACUAAGUCUUAGCUUUCAUCUUACCCCUGAACUUCCCUUCCUCUGAAGAGUGGAAUACCACCCAGCAUCCUCUCACAUACAAAGAAAGAACAAAUUGCUGAUAGACACAGAUGUCCAUCAAUCUCAAAAGUCGUCAUGAAACCUCUGGAAGAAUUGAGCUGGUCGACUAUGCAAACAGUUGUCAAGAGCCUAUAAAAUAUGCAGCAUAAAAUUUUUCCUUUGUAGUCAAACCUGAUUAUUCCUCUUAGAUACUGGGAACAGAAUUUCACAGUCGUCAGAGAAUAUACCUUUUGUAUUUUCGUAUUAAAUAUGUACUCCUAUUACUUAACAAUUGUAGUUUAACUCCUUUUUUAGGUAAAAUUCUAAUUUUUCUCUUCUGUUAAAAAUUUCCAGUUCCAACACGAAGAUAAUAAAGAAUAUUAAUUUUAUCCUUAUUAACUUGAAGGAAGUAAUAUUUAUUUUUGUAUUUCUGUACUUAAGUAUAUCACAAAUACAGAUUUCUGUAGUUGGAGAAUUAAUAUAAAGUAACAUAGUAUUCAAUAAGAAGGGAUUUUUCUUUAUUAAAAAGAGGUCUGAAUUAUAAACUAAAUAUCUGUGUAACUUUGAACAAUUUAUUUA